rnacentral:rRNA from 1 species
GACAGAGGGUGCUAGCGUUGUUCGGAAUUACUGGGCGUAAAGGGCGCGUAGGCGGUCAGCACAAGUCAGUUGUGAAAUCUCCGGGCUUAACUCGGAAAGGUCAACUGAUACUGUGCGACUAGAGUGCAGAAGGGGCAACUGGAAUUCUCGGUGUAGCGGUGAAAUGCGCAGAUAUCAGGAGGAACACCGGUGGCGAAGGCGGUUCUCUGGGCAUUACCUGACGCUGAGGAGCGAAAGUGUGGGGAGCGAACAGG